rnacentral:rRNA from 1 species
UGAGGAACAUGACCUUCGGCGGGGAUAGCCGGCCCAACGGCCGGGUAAUACCGCGUACGACCACAUGGGGACAUCCCUGAGUGGUGAAAGCAGCAAUGCGCCGAUGGAGUGCCUCGCGGCCUAUCAGCUAGUUGGUGAGGUAACGGCUCACCAAGGCGACGACGGGUAGCCGGCCUGAGAGGGUGACCGGCCACACUGGGACUGAGACACGGCCCAUACUCCUACGGGAGGNAG